GACGAACGCUGGCGGCGUGCCUAAUACAUGCAAGUAGAACGCACAGUUUAUACCGUAGCUUGCUACACCAUAGACUGUGAGUUGCGAACGGGUGAGUAACGCGUAGGUAACCUGCCUGGUAGCGGGGGAUAACUAUUGGAAACGAUAGCUGAUACCGCAUAAUAUUAAUUAUUGCAUGAUAAUUAAUUGAAAGGUGCAAUUGCACCACUACCAGAUGGACCUGCGUUGUAUUAGCUAGUAGGUGAGGUAACGGCUCACCUAGGCGACGAUACAUAGCCGACCUGGGAGGGUGGUCGGCCAAACUGGGACUGGGACACGGCCCAGACUCCUACGGGAGGCCGCAGUAGGGAAUCUUCGGCAAUGGACGAAAGUCUGACCGAGCAACGCCGCGUGAGUGAAGAAGGUUUUCGGAUCGUAAAGCUCUGUUGUAAGAGAAGAACGGGUGUGAGAGUGGAAAGUUCACACUGUGACGGUAUCUUACCAGAAAGAGACGGCUAACUACGUG
rnacentral:rRNA from 1 species